ACCUGUGUGGUUUAAUGGUUAGAGUGCUGGACUAGGACUCAAGGAGUCCAGGGUUCAAAUCCCCGCUCAGCCA